GCAGCCUCCAAACGAAAGGGGUGUGAAAAGUUGGCAACAUGGCUGCCGAUGAUACGCAAUCAAGUUUAUUGGAUUGCGGAUUCAUCCACCACCGGCGCAGAGAGGUUGGCCAAGUUAAAUUCCAUACUGAACUACAGGACAAGCACACACAUGAUGACCCCCUCUACCCCCGUUGUGAACAUGACUUACACCCAGGAAGCCAGCAAAAGAAAAAGGACCCGAAGAAGGACAAAUGGCUCCAACCAGGAACCCCGGCCUUUUACAAGCUAGAGAAGCAGAUCAACAGCAAGAGAGUACAGAAAGACGUGGAAAAGCUCAGUCCCCAUCACCAGACGUCAUCACUGGAAGCUUUCCACAGCCUGGUGAUCCGCUUUGCACCAAAAAGUGUGGCGUUUUCAUACAUUGGAAUGCUCUGCAGACUAUAUCUUGCAGCCAUGCAUUACAAUGAGAACAGAGAGUGACCCCAGAAGAGAGCAGAGGAUGGGCAACAAGUUGCACUAUUCCAAGACAAAACCCUGCACAGUUCAGCCGCUCAAAGAAGAACCAUCCUUCGACUAUGUGGAUGAGCUGAUGGACUUGCUCUUCAGUGAGGUCUUUGAGCUCCUGCACGGCUUCAGAGCAGAGCUGCAGGAGAUUCAUGUUCCACCGCCACUCGCAUCCAAGGAGGACAGGCCAGCAAAGGAGGACAUCAUGGCAAAGUACGCAUCCUGCUUCAAUCGAGAGGCAACCUGAAGCCCGUGUAUUGGCCGCCGGGGUCCGGGAAUUCCCGUCUGAUGCGCAAGACCACACAAGCUGGUAUUACCACCCGGAUUCUUCGGCCCAAGUAUCCCCAGCACCAACUGACAAGACUUCUGUAGGCCAGGUGUCUGCAUUGACUGAAAAAACACACAAAUUUGUAAAUAUUUUUCAUUCAAGUA